UACGUAGGCAGCGAGCGUUGUUCGGAAUUACUGGGCGUAAAGAGUGUGUAGGCGGUGCUCUAAGUUCGGUGUGAAAUCUCCUGGCUCAACUGGGAGGGUGCGCCGGAAACUGGAGUGCUUGAGCGCGGGAGAGGAAAGCGGAAUUCCUGGUGUAGCGGUGAAAUGCGUAGAUAUCAGGAGGAACACCUGUGGUGUAGACGGCUUCUGGACCGUAGCUGACGCUGAGACACGAAAGCGUGGGUAGCAAACAGG
rnacentral:rRNA from 1 species